rnacentral:lncRNA from 1 species
CACUCGGCUGGGCUCUUGGCAGCACCCUGUGCUCUGAGGGUGUCUUGCCCGCCGGGCGCCGUGGCUCACGCCUGUAAUCCCAACACUUUGGGAGGCUGAGGCGGGCGGAUCACUUGAGGUCAAGAGUUCAAGACCAGCCUGGCCAACAUGAUUCUACUCUAAAAGUCACCAGGAAAAAUUCAGCUCCACUGGUCCUGGCUCUAAGUCUACUAGCAAAAUCUUCCAGAGAAGUGGAAAAGCCAUCAGCCAAUGUGUUAGACUAUCAUUUCCAUGACCUUACACCUAUCAAAAAGGCACUAUUACCAGGCUUAUAGAAUUCUAAAAAAGUUGGAAACCAUUUUCCAUUAUAAAAGAAAUUCUUCCAAAUCACACAAAACACUCUGACGCUUCUCCAAUUCCCCCUUUCAAUGUUCCGCAAAUGUGCUGGUUUGAAGGAAAAAAAAUUCAAUGUGGCACAUGUUUAAAAAUAUAAUGAAGACAUAGACAUUAUCAAAUACAACUGAUAGCACUAACCUUCCCUUUGAACCGUCCCUAAACAUCCACACUCACAUGUCCUUUAAAUACAAACCACUUUUCUCCAGGCUUCCUAACUUGGUAAAUCCAGGUACCUUCCCAGGUCGUUCAGAGAAUUGGGAGCCUCGUUCCACAUCACUUUUCCCCAGCCCAGCAGCACAAAACCAAUCAGCUGACAAAUUCAUUUCCACCUCUCAAGGCCUCUCAUAUUAAUCCCUCCUUUCCACACAUAUACUGCCCUAGCUCAGACCCUCUCAUACUUCUUAAACUGACACAGACAACCUCACUUGGAGGCUAACUGGUCUCCUUAUCUUUAAUCCCAAAAUACACCUAUUUACCACACAGAUCCAAAACCUCGUAACUCCUUUCUCAAAAUCCUGUAAUGCCCUGUCAAUUGCAUUCAGAAGAAAACCACCUUUUCAUCCUUUCUCCCUUUAAGAGCACAUUGGUAAGAGUGUAAAUCCCAGUUCUACCACUUAGUAGGUUUAUUUCAUUUGUAACCUCUAUCUCAUUUGUAAAAAAAAAGAAUCAUAGUACUCUCUUCUCAAUAAAACUGUUCUAAGGAAAUAAUUAAUACUAAUAAAGCACUGAGAACAAUGCCUAGCA